rnacentral:rRNA from 1 species
GACGAACGCUGGCGGCGUGCUUAACACAUGCAAGUCGAACGGAAAGGCCCUGCUUUUGUGGGGUGCUCGAGUGGCGAACGGGUGAGUAACACGUGAGUAACCUGCCCUUGACUUUGGGAUAACUUCAGGAAACUGGGGCUAAUACCGGAUAGGAGCUCCUGCUGCAUGGUGGGGGUUGGAAAGUUUCGGCGGUUGGGGAUGGACUCGCGGCUUAUCAGCUUGUUGGUGGGGUAGUGGCUUACCAAGGCUUUGACGGGUAGCCGGCCUGAGAGGGUGACCGGCCACAUUGGGACUGAGAUACGGCCCAGACUCCUACGGGAGGCAGCAGUGGGGAAUAUUGCACAAUGGGCGGAAGCCUGAUGCAGCAACGCCGCGUGCGGGAUGACGGCCUUCGGGUUGUAAACCGCUUUCGCCUGUGACGAGGCGUGAGUGACGGUAAUGGGUAAAGAAGCACCGGCUAACUACGUGC